rnacentral:rRNA from 1 species
GACGAACGCUGGCGGCGUGCUUAACACAUGCAAGUCGAACGGAAAGGCCCUGCUUGCAGGGUACUCGAGUGGCGAACGGGUGAGUAACACGUGGGUGAUCUGCCCUGCACUUCGGGAUAAGCCUGGGAACAUGGGUUUAUUCCGGCUUGGAGGCACUCUUUCUGGUAGUGGUGGGAAGGUUUUUCGGGGCAGGUGGGGCUCGCCGCCCUUCAGCUUGGUGGUUGGGUAAUGGGCUACCAAGGCGGGGGAGGGUCGCCGGCCCGGGAGGGUUGACGGGCACAUUGGGACUGGGAUACGGCCCAGACUCCUACGGGAGGCAGCAAUUGGGAAUAUUGCACAAUUGGCGCAAGCCUGAUGCAGCGACGCCGCGUGGGGGAUGACGGCCUUCGGGUUGUAAACUCCUUUCGCUAGGGACGAAGCUUUUUGUGACGGUACCUAGAUAAGAAGCACCGGCUAACUACGUG